UGGCGGACGGGUGAGUAAUGUCUGGGAAACUGCCCGAUGGAGGGGGAUAACUACUGGAAACGGUAGCUAAUACCGCAUAACGUCGCAAGACCGAAGAGGGGGACCUUAGGGCCUCUUGCCAUCGGAUGUGCCCAGAUGGGAUUAGCUAGUAGGUGGGGUAACGGCUCACCUAGGCGACGAUCCCUAGCUGGUCUGAGAGGAUGACCAGCCACACUGGAACUGAGACACGGUCCAG
rnacentral:rRNA from 1 species